rnacentral:rRNA from 1 species
CACGUAGGGGGCAAGCGUUGUCCGGAAUCAUUGGGCGUAAAGCGCGUGUAGGCGGUCUGUCGCGUCUGCUGUGAAAAUCCGGGGCUCAACCCCGGACUUGCAGUGGGUACGGGCAGACUAGAGUGUGGUAGGGGAGACUGGAAUUCCUGGUGUAGCGGUGAAAUGCGCAGAUAUCAGGAGGAACACCGAUGGCGAAGGCAGGUCUCUGGGCCACUACUGACGCUGAGAAGCGAAAGCAUGGGGAGCGAACAGG